AUUGAACGCUGGCGGCAGGCCUAACACAUGCAAGUCGAGCGGAUGAGGGAAGCUUGCUUCCCGAUUUAGCGGCGGGCGGGUGAGGAAUGCCUAGGAAUCUGCCCAUUAGUGGGGGAUAACGUUCCGAAAGGAACGCUAAUACCGCAUACGUCCUACGGGAGAAAGUGGGGGAUCUUCGGACCUCACGCCAAUAGAUGAGCCCGGGUCGGAUUAGCUAGUUGGUGAGGUAACGGCUCACCAAGGCGAAGAUCCGUAGCUGGUCUGAGAGGAUGAUCAGCCACACUGGAACUGAGACACGGUCCAGACUCCUACGGGAGGCAGCAGUGGGGAAUAUUGGACAAUGGGCGAAAGCCUGAUCCAGCCAUGCCGCGUGUGUGAAGAAGGCCUUCGGAUUGUAAAGCACUUUAAGUUGGGAGGAAGGGUUGUAAGCUAGUAUCUUGCAGCUUUGACGUUACCAACAGAAUAAGCACCGGCUAACUCUGUGCCAGCCGCCGCAGUAACAC
rnacentral:rRNA from 1 species